rnacentral:rRNA from 1 species
CCUACGGGAGGCAGCAGUGAGGAAUAUUGGUCAAUGGACGCAAGUCUGAACCAGCCAUGCCGCGUGCAGGAAGACGGCUCUAUGAGUUGUAAACUGCUUUUGUACGAGGGUAAAUCCCGAUACGUGUAUCGGGUUGAAAGUAUCGUACGAAUAAGGAUCGGCUAACUCCGUGCCAGCAGCCGCGGUAAUACGGAGGGUUCAAGCGUUAUCCGGAUUUAUUGGGUUUAAAGGGUGCGUAGGCGGUUCGUUAAGUUAGAGGGGAAAUCCCCGGGCUCAACUCCGGCACUGCAUUCGAUACUGUCAGGCUAGAGGUUAGUAGAGGGAGGUGGAAUG